rnacentral:tRNA from 1 species
AGGGGAGUAUCGAAAUAAAAGGAGCUGCUAACUACCUUUUAAAGCGGUUAAACUCCGUUUCUCCCUUA